rnacentral:rRNA from 1 species
CCUACGGGUGGCAGCAGUGAGGAAUAUUGGUCAAUGGACGCAAGUCUGAACCAGCCAUGCCGCGUGCAGGAAGACUGCUCUAUGAGUUGUAAACUGCUUUUGUACGAGGGUAAACGCAGAUACGCGUAUCUGUCUGAAAGUAUCUUACGAAUAAGGAUCGGCUAACUCCGUGCCAGCAGCCGCGGUAAUACGGAGGAUUCAAGCGUUAUCCGGAUUUAUUGGGUUUAAAGGGUGCGUAGGCGGUCGGAUAAGUUAGAGGUGAAAUGCCGAGGCUCAACUUCGGAAUUGCCUCUGAUACUGGUAGGCUAGAGAGUAGUUGAGGUAGGCGGAAUGUAUGGUGUAGCGGUGAAAUGCUUAGAGAUCAUAAAGAACACCGAUUGCGAAGGCAGCUUACCAAGCUACUUCUGACAUUGAGGCACGAAAGCGUGGGGAGCAAACAGGAUUAGAUACCCCGGUAGUC